GGAAAAAUGGAGAGAGUUUUAUCUUUCCUGCCUUAUCUGGAGGGGAAGAUCUUGUGUGAAGGAGAACCGAUUUCCAUUCCAGUUUGUAUUAUUGUAAGCAAUGAAUUCACAAAUGAAGCAGCUCACAUUACAGCUUUCCCAGUACUGAUUUUUGAAUGAAGGCAUCCUGAAACAUCAUAGGAAACAUGGUUGCACUCCCACAACUGAGAGAUAUGUACAUAACCUCCAUAAUGAUGUAUUGGAUUUGCUAAUACUUCAGGAAGAACUCUUUGACCGUUAAACUAAUUGAAAACAGGAAGUACUUCCACAAGAUCACCAAGACAGAGAACGAAAACAAAUUAAAACAAGGCAGACCAAAGAUACCUGGACCAAGAACUUACCGUCACUGAAAAUUCAUAAAAAAAAAUUGAUUUCAAAGACCAGGACUACUUUUGAGCAAUUACAUAAGUAAUUGACAUCCACACCAAUUUCAGGAAGACUUGAGGAUGUUUUACCACUCUCUGAUAUUGAAGAUGUUAAUCAGUCUUAAUGUUUCGUCAUUUUCAUAUAGGAACAAGGUACUCAUCAUGGAUUCUCCCUGUCUUCCAUACUAUUGUUCUUGCCAUACAGCCACUAUCUAGGUAAAUCAGAGGCUAACAGAGGGGUACCAUGGAAGUGAGGACACUUAACAUAUGUUGGCAAUUGCCUUUCAGUCCUAUGAAUGAUUGUCAAGCAUAUUCUACUGGAUGACUUCUCUGGGCUAUCAAGACUCAUGGAGAUUAUUUCCAAAACUGAUUUUUUUCAGGUGAAUUGGGUCACUAAGGUGACUAACAAGGAGGUGACAGUGUUUCUCUUUUCUUGAUGCAAGAAACUACUUAAUGUCUAUGUAUUAUGUCAUAUCACUCUCAGAGUUCCAUUCUGGAACUUAAUUAUAAUCCUUUUUGUUGAUGUAUUUGUUUUAUUGUUUACCUUUUUCAGGAGUGCCUUACUAAAGAGAUUGCUACCUGGUCUAAUUGUUCCUGCCAACUAAGUAAAGAUUUAAUGCCUUAGA